rnacentral:rRNA from 1 species
AUGGGUAUGCAGGCUAUGAUGAAUGUCCGGUGCACGAAUCUAGUCAACCCUGUAUGCGACUGGCUUGGUGAGAUUUACGACCCCGCCUCCAGGGAAUUUGUGAUUUCGGGACGUGGAAGACUGCCGUUGAACGAGGAAUCUGUGUUCUGCACUUUGGGUGUGCCCCGUGGACAAAUCAAAGUCCCAUAUGAGGUCAAUAACAAGAUCGAGGAAGCGUUGUUCCCCCGUUUGUUUCCUGGGUUGGAAUCCAUGCCGAACACGUCAGUACUGGCAGAUUCACUGCAGGCCAUGACAACCCAUGGCGAGGUUUUUAAGAUGAAACUACUCAUGUACCUCAUCUCAGCUGUUUUUGCGGCGACCACUUCUCUUCGCCCAAGCAACAAAUGCUUCCCCAUCCUGGCGAAACUGAAAGAUGUGAAGAACAUGAAUUGGUGUAAGUUCAUUGCCGACUUCCUGCAUGAUGCAUUCUCAAGCAAGAUGUACCAGAAGGGUUGUCGACUGCAUUUAAUGCUCAUGUGCGUCGACUGUCUUGAUCUGUCCACCAUGGAUUUCACUGGGACAGGAGGCCUACCGCAUACGCACAAGUUUGCUGUUUUUGCAUGGACUGUCGAUGCUGUCAAGGCUGUGCUUGCUGCAGACUGGGUAACUGAUACCAAAUAUGGAAAACUGCAGCUGAUGGCCAAGCAUGCUAUUGACUACAGCGUGUUUGGGGGGGCUCAAAACUUUGGAAAGUGGAUGGACGUGCACUCAGCUCCAUCUUGCCCUACUGAGGCCAGGGCACCUGUUGAGCAUCUAAUUGGGCAGUUUGCAUCCGGAAUGACCGGCUUGCUCGGGAAGUUGGUUGAGGGGUGGACGUCCCUUAAUGGCUCCUACAGCGACGCGGUUGCGAGGCAGUUCACUACAUUUGUCCCAGAAUGGACACAUCAGCCAACUGGUUGUCGUGGCCGGUAUGACUACAACAGUUCCCAAGAGCUUGCUGACACACAAGAUGAACUAGAUGGAGACGCUGGUCUCAGCAAGGAUGACGACCAUGACAUGGAGAACGUGCAAUAG